GGCACAGAAACCUAGACAAAUGAUAUUAAAAUAAUAAUAUACAAUUUGCCUCUGUCAAGGAUUGAUCCUUAUAUAAGUGAUUUAAGGAUUAAAUCCUUAAGAACGUGGCAAGGUGUGAUUGGUUUCCGUCUGGGUGGUGUGAGUUGUGUUUCGCCUCUUUUCUCCCUUUUUUUUCUCCGAUCAAAAAAUUAUGGGUUUUGUUCUGAUUGCUAAUGGGAUUGAUAAAUUGAUUGCAAGACUAGUCUCAAGCUAGAGUUCUGGGUUUUGUUUGGUUCUUCAAUAAAGAAGACGAAGAAGAUCAUCAUCUCGCUACUACUAACUCGUCGUCUUCCUCAAGCGGUAGCUUCGUGCGUGCGUCGUCGGAGCUCCGUUGGUGGUUGCUCGGUCUAGACGAAUUCCGACGACCUUAAAGUGCUUCGCUUCCACCGCCAAUUCUGAACUUCUCUGCUCCCAGCUCGAUCGUCUUCACGCGGAGGCAGAGUCCACUCGUGCCAAAGGUACACUAUGGAAAGACCAAGGUUCAGCGAAGGUAACCGAAGAUCCGUCUACUCAAGGGGAAAGCAAAGCAGCACAAGCGGUGAGCAUGUACCUGUAUUUCCCAUGUGGAAUCAUAAGAGGUGUCCUCUCCAACUUGGGGAUACCUUGUGCUGUCUCUGCAGACAUAUCCAGCCUUCCCACUUGUGAGUUCUCACGUCUUAUUUUUGUCUCACUUCUCAUACAGUCACAUAAUCACAAAAUUGGAGAAAGGUAAGAAGUUGUUAGCUGAUUUUUGGUUUAAUUCCAAAAGUAUCUUAAACUCUUGGUAUUUGGCUUAGGAUUAAAUAAGAGAACAUUAGUUGUAUGAAAAAAAAAAAUCCUAAGGAUUCUAUAUUGAGUAACACCAUUGAACAUAUAUUUUAGAGUAUAGUCUUUAACUAUUCAAAAAGCAAAAAGAAAAUAUAUUAUAUUACUAAGGACUCCAAUGGUGGGUAACACCAUUAGAAUUGCUCUAAGGCCAAUAGCACUUACUGUUUUCAUACACUCAUCUACUUGGAAAAUCACAUUACAAAAUUAAGGAAAUUUUUUGAAUCAGUGUUUCAAAUACUUUUUGUAUUCUUUAUAUUUUAUCGCAACAUCCUCAAUUUAUUUUCAGUUAUAAAAUAAAAUGUAUAGGAAAUAUUAAUUCUUAUACUAGCGAAAACUCAAUGUUUUAUGUUUUUACU